rnacentral:rRNA from 1 species
ACUCCUACGGGAGGCAGCAGUGGGGAAUAUUGCACAAUGGGCGCAAGCCUGAUGCAGCCAUGCCGCGUGUGUGAAGAAGGCCUUCGGGUUGUAAAGCACUUUCAGUCGUGAGGAAGGUAGUGUAGUUAAUAGCUGCAUUAUUUGACGUUAGCGACAGAAGAAGCACCGGCUAACUCCGUGCCAGCAGCCGCGGUAAUACGGAGGGUGCGAGCGUUAAUCGGAAUUACGUGGGCGUAAAGCGCAUGCAGGUGGUUUGUUAAGUCAGAUGUGAAAGCCCGGGGCUCAACCUCGGAAUAGCAUUUGAAACUGGCAGACUAGAGUACUGGUAGAGGGGGUUAGAAUUUCAGGUGUAGCGGUGAAAUGCGUAGAGAUCGUAGAAGGU